CACAGGAGGCAAGCAGCCAGGAGACAAAAGGUCACAAAUGAUGAAGACCCUGUCCUGAGUACAGCCACCUGGAGACAAAGAAAUGGCUGCGAUGAAGCUGAUGCGGCUACAGCAAGUCAGCAGAGUUAAUCAGCCAAAAGCAAACCAGGAACACAGAAGCCCCACUAUGGAUUUCAGCAGCAGGAAUUCAAUGUGAGGAAUUUGUUAUGCUGAUGUUGGAGCACACAUGGAGCCAGAAUGGAACUCUGUCUUCUAAUCUAAUCUAUGUACCCAGCCUGAAUGUUCUUCAUAUAUACAUAUAUAUAUAAUUAACAUAUAACUAUGAUAUAUAUGUACACACACAUCUGUACAGUGACGUGCUUACCACAAUAUGUCUUGUCAAAUAUCCAUCACCACAUAGUUACACAUUUUUUUGGUAAUGAUAAUUUCAACAUUUUUCUCUUAGCAAUAUGCUCUCUUAGCAGUUUUUAAAUAUAUAACAUGGUAUUAUUAACUAUAGUAUUACAGUUAAUACCCACUAUUAUUAACUAUAGUCACCAUGCUGUACAUUACACCCUCAUGCUUUAAUUAUCUUAUAACUGUAAGUUUGUACUUUUCACCACCCUCAUCCCUUUUGCCCUGCCCCCACCCUCAGUCUCUAGCCACCACCAAUCUGUUGUCUAUAUCUAUGAGUUUGAAUUUUAACAAUGUUUUUACAUAUAUUUGAAAUUAUAUGGUAUUGGUCUUUCUCUGUCUGAUACUUCACUUAGCAUAAUGCCAUCAUGAUCCAUCCAUGUUGCCACAAAGGCAGGAUUUCCUAGUUUUUUUUUGGCAGACUAGUAUUCCAUUUAUAUACACCACAUUUUCUCCAUCCAUUCAUUUAUAAAUGGACACUUAGAUUGCUUCUACAUCUUGGCUAUUAUAAGUGAUUCUGCAGUGAAUGUAGGGGUGCAUAUGUUAAUGUUUUCAUUUCUUCCAAAUAAAUGCACAGAAGUGGCAUUGCUGGAUGUUAUCAGAGCUCCGUUUUUAAUUUUUGAAGAACUGCCAUAAUGAUUUACAUAGCUGCUGCCCCAACUCACAUUCUCAGCUACAUUGCAAGAG